rnacentral:ncRNA from 1 species
UAGCCCAUCGGGGCCCCGGAUACCUGGCAUAUUUUU